UUGUAAUGAUGAAUUGCCUUUGGUCCGUGUUUCUGAAAAACUGUGAUAACCACAUAGGCAUCUUUUUUCUGAACUC